rnacentral:rRNA from 1 species
AUUGAACGCUGGCGGCAGGCCUAACACAUGCAAGUCGAGCGGGGUUUUCGGACCUAGCGGCGGACGGGUGAGUAAUGCGUAGGAAGCUACCCGAUAGAGGGGGAUACCAGUUGGAAACGACUGUUAAUACCGCAUAAUGUCUACGGACCAAAGUGUGGGACCUUCGGGCCACAUGCUAUCGGAUGCGCCUACGUGGGAUUAGCUAGUUGGUGAGGUAAUGGCUCACCAAGGCGACGAUCUCUAGCUGGUUUGAGAGGAUGAUCAGCCACACUGGAACUGAGACACGGUCCAGACUCCUACGGGAGGCAGCAGUGGGGAAUAUUGGACAAAUGGGGCGCAAGCCUGAUCCAGCCAUGCCGCGUGUGUGAAGAAGGCC